GCUGGGCGUGGUGGCGCGUGCCUGUAAUCCCAGCUACUUGGGAGGCUGAGGUAGGAGAAUCACUUGAACUCAGGAGGCAGAGGUUGCAGUGAGCCGAGGUCGUGCCACUGCACUCCAGCCUGGGCAACAGAGUGAGGCUCUAUCUCAA
ensembl:misc_RNA Metazoa_SRP Metazoan signal recognition particle RNA